ACUUCCUUUUCCAAAUGCUCAUCUACUUUGCUGAUUUUUUAUUCACUCUUGAUCAUCUCUCUCUUAAGUUUAUCAUUUCUUCAUCUCCCUUAUCCCUCCUUUUUUGUUGAUUCUUUCUAGAGAUCUCUUAAACUUCUUCUUUAUUUCAUGCCUUAUCUUUCCACCUUAUUUCCUUCCAUUUCUAGCAAGGAUCAGUUAAGUGUGAUGAAACAAGGGAUUCUCAAGUUAGAAAGUUUAAAUCGCAUGGAGAGUCAUUAUGGGGUGUAUUAUGAGAUAAAAUUAGUGUACCAGUAUUCGGCAUCGAUUUAGGAAGCGGUUGGAGUCAAAUUGUGUGAUUGCGCCAUCGAGGUGAAUGUCUUCCCAUUCUCUUGUGAUUAAUAUGUUCAAUGUUGAAUGAAGGUUUAGUUGAGAAAAAAUGAUCGGCCCCUUGCUCAAAAGGAUCGAUCCCUGGCACAAUAUUUAGCUACUGUUUUGCAAAGGAUCAAUCCCCCAUGAAAAAGGAUUGAUACUUUCGUUGUGAGAUCAAUAAAAAUAGGUAAAAUUACAUUCAUUAAAGUCCUAAAUUGUUCCCUAAGUCCU